UUAGGGGUUCGGUGUCCUCUUCAGGGUUGCUUGGACAGAGGUGAACCCUCGGUCUUCAGACAACAGGCUCUCCUGCCUGGACCACCGCCACACCCACAUUGAGCUAAAUUCUUUCUUGAGUUGUCUCCCUUGUUUUAGUCUGCCCCCCCACCGGUGUUAAUGAUGUCAUUCUGAAAAGUAUUAUCAACCUCAUCUGUGAAGAUCCAGACUCUUUUCAAAAAGUAUCUGGCCUCCACUGCUGAGGAUGGAGAGAGGGACAUGGCAUUCAGUGUCGGGGGGGUUCUCAUGAUCCGUCUGGAAAGCCAGACGACGUGGGAAUUGUGAUCAACACAUUGAUGUCCUGAAACAACACAGAUGGGGUCCUCAUGACAUUCAUCAUGCUUCGUGCUCAUUUGUGCCAUUGAUCUGAGCUUUCUAAACAACCUUAAGUACAGCAUGAGGCUUUUCCAGAAGAUCAUAAAAGAAAUUCAAAGAUACAGCAACUGAAGAUCAAGUUGUUUGCACAGGAGUCAAACACCAAGUGAGAAAGCAAAUUAACUUCAUCCGCUCUUUGGGCAUCCAUUGGACCUGUUUCUGCACAUGAUAAUACAGCUAUUCUUCAAUGUAAAUGACCAAUUGCAUGAAUGCAUCUUUGUUUAUAUGGGCCAUGUGUACUACAAGGAAAGAAAACAAAGCUGUAAUGCUCUUGAUAAACAAAGUAGUGAGAAUUUAGCAAUUGCAAAAUUGGUUGUGUAUCAAUUGCAGGAAUUUCUUCUGUGCUUUUUUUGAAAGGUGGUCCAUGGAGAAUGAGCAGAACGUUCAAUGCAAAGAUUUCUCCUCUUUGGAAAGCAGUGCGAAGCCUCCACCCUCGUGGCGUCUUUGUUGCGUCAGGUACCAUGACAUUUGGGAUAGCUUUGGAUUUAUGUUUCACUAUUUAAUACUAUUUAAGAUAUAUAUUAAUAUUUCAUCAGGAAAUAUCCACAUGCUAACUCUCUCAAAUCUGACACUGACAUUCUCUCACGAUCUACUUUUGUAUGUUACCAAACUAACUGCCGGACAUAAAAGUGGAAGUUUACCUAUAACUCUGUGUACAGCUAGUGAUAAAGUUUAGCUUGUCGUAAGCAAGACUGAGAGCAAAGAUUGUCGUAAGCAAGACUGAGAGCAAAGAGUACAAUAAACCUUGUACCCUGAUGCUGAUACCAGCUGUGGAAUUUGGCAAGAGUGCUGCCGUUUGGGUACUACUACUACUACUACUACUACACAAGAACAGCUUUGCAUAUUGAUUUGUAUACUUCCAACAUCUCCGGGUCAUGAUGAAAUGUAGGCCCACACAAGUUGGUACAAUUUUCAGUUUGUUUACUGUUAACUUAUUAUGAUAAGAUAAUGAAUGCAGCUUCAACAAAGUAAAGUAAACCAUGACUUGAUUUGACAUAGUGGGAGCUUUCUGUGUGAUGCGGCUCGGUGCUUCAUGCUCAUUUGCAAUGUAAAGUGUGAAGAGGAGUGGAGCUGCGUCUGCUCCCUGUGGAACGCCCGCACUCCAGAUAGCCAGUCUUUUCUAUUACUAGAGGGCUCUAUGAUGAUGAUGGGCAAAAUGUACAACAUUUAGUGAGGUUAUGAUUGGCUGGAGGGGCAAUCGUUACUACAUCCACUUAACUAAAGAUCACUGCUGUAAGCCCCGAGGCUACACGGGGAACGUGAGCGUGAAUGGCCGUCUCUUUUUGUGUGUCAGCGCUGGGAUUGACCGAUGACCUGUUCAAGGCGUACGCCACCUCUCAUCCCGAUGUUGGAGCUGCAGCUGCAGCCACGCACGACCCUCCAAGCGGUUGAAGAUAAUACAUGGAUGGAUUUUUGACCUCACAAGAUGCACCUAAAGAAUAUCUUUCAUACGCACUUCUGAUAUGAUCAGGAGAAUGGUUAAAGAAUGUGUCUAGAGUCAAUUACAUGUGGAUUUGUGCUUUGAAUCAUGCCUUGUCCAUUAAGUCAUUUUCUCUCCCUCUCUCUCUACCUCUUUUGAAUAGGCACUUCCUCAUUUUAAUGUUUAUCUUUAUCUGCAUCAUGGCUUUCUUCAUUUUAUGAAUCUACCUUUUUUCUUAUUUCUCUGGCAUUUGCGUUAUUUUGCGUAAUAAUGCAUGACAUUUUCCAUUCACUGCAGUGCUUCAACAUUUGAAUGUUUUGAAUGAAUGCUUUUACAUUUGCAUAUACAGUAUAAGCAGG
ensembl:lncRNA